GACGAACGCUGGCGGCGUGCUUAACACAUGCAAGUCGAACGGAAAGGCCUGCUUUCCCUUGUGGAUUGCGGGUACUCGAGUGGCGAACGGGUGAGUAACACGUGAGUGAUCUGCCCCCAACUUGGGUAUAAGCCUGGGAAACUGGGUCUAAUUCCCGAUAGGACUGCAGGGUGGUGCCUGUGGUGGAAAACGAUUUUCUAGUGGUUGGGGAUGAGCUCGCGGCCUAUCAGCUUGUUGGUGGGGUAAUGGCCUACCAAGGCGGCGACGGGUAGCCGGCCUGAGAGGGUGGACGGCCACAUUGGGACUGGGAUACGGCCCAGACUCCUACGGGAGGCGGCAGUGGGGAAUAUUGCACAAUGGGCGGAAGCCUGAUGCAGCGACGCCGCGUGGGGGAUGACGGCCUUCGGGUUGUAAACUCCUUUCGACCGCGAGGAAGCCACCUGGUUGGAAGGGUGGUGACGGUAGUGGUAGAAGAAGCACCGGCUAACUACGUG
rnacentral:rRNA from 1 species